rnacentral:rRNA from 1 species
GUAGAGACGGUGCGGGGUUUACAUGCAAGUCGAACGGCAGCGCGAGAGAGCUUGCUCUCUUGGCGGCGAGUGGCGGACGGGUGAGUAAUAUAUCGGAACGUGCCCAGUAGCGGGGGAUAACUACUCGAAAGAGUGGCUAAUACCGCAUACGCCCUACGGGGGAAAGGGGGGGAUCGCAAGACCUCUCACUAUUGGAGCGGCCGAUAUCGGAUUAGCUAGUUGGUGGGGUAAAGGCUCACCAAGGCAACGAUCCGUAGCUGGUUUGAGAGGACGACCAGCCACACUGGGACUGAGACCCGGGCCCAGAUUCCUACGGGAGGCAGCAAGUGGGGAAUUUUGGACAAUGGGGGAAACCCUGAUCCAGCCAUCCCCGCGUGUAUGAUGAAGGCCUUCGGGUUGUAAAGUACUUUUGGCAGAGAAGAAAAGGUAUCCCCUAAUACGGGAUACUGCUGACGGUAUCUGCAGAAUAAGCACCGGCUAACUACGUGCCAGCAGCCGCGGUAAUACGUAGGGUGCAAGCGUUAAUCGGAAUUACUGGGCGUAAAGCGUGUGUAGGCGGUUCGGAAAGAAAGAUGUGAAAUCCCAGGGCUCAACCUUGGAACUGCAUUUUUAACUGCCGAGCUAGAGUAUGUCAGAGGGGGGUAGAAUUCCACGUGUAGCAGUGAAAUGCGUAGAUAUGUGGAGGAAUACCGAUGGCGAAGGCAGCCCCCUGGGAUAAUACUGACGCUCAGACACGAAAGCGUGGGGAGCAAACAGGAUUAGAUACCCUGGUAGUCCACGCCCUAAACGAUGUCAACUAGCUGUUGGGGCCGUUAGGCCUUAGUAGCGCAGCUAACGCGUGAAGUUGACCGCCUGGGGAGUACGGUCGCAAGAUUAAAACUCAAAGGAAUUGACGGGGACCCGCACAAGCGGUGGAUGAUGUGGAUUAAUUCGAUGCAACGCGAAAAACCUUACCUACCCUUGACAUGUCUGGAAAGCCGAAGAGAUUUGGCCGUGCUCGCAAGAGAACCGGAACACAGGUGCUGCAUGGCUGUCGUCAGCUCGUGUCGUGAGAUGUUGGGUUAAGUCCCGCAACGAGCGCAACCCUUGUCAUUAGUUGCUACGCAAGAGCACUCUAAUGAGACUGCCGGUGACAAACCGGAGGAAGGUGGGGAUGACGUCAAGUCCUCAUGGCCCUUAUGGGUAGGGCUUCACACGUCAUACAAUGGUCGGGACAGAGGGUCGCCAACCCGCGAGGGGGAGCCAAUCUCAGAAACCCGAUCGUAGUCCGGAUCGCAGUCUGCAACUCGACUGCGUGAAGUCGGAAUCGCUAGUAAUCGCGGAUCAGAAUGUCGCGGUGAAUACGUUCCCGGGUCUUGUACACACCGCCCGUCACACCAUGGGAGUGGGUUUCACCAGAAGUAGGUAGCCUAACCGUAAGGAGGGCGCUACCCAGUUGUGUUUCCGACCGGACUC